GUGGCCAGUCCUGGAUCGAGUGAAAGAAGAGCUCGGGUCCUGAUGGCUGCUCAGCCCACCCCUCGGCCCGCGCCAGGCACUGAUCAUGGCGGAACACCUCCGCGGCUGGAGAAAAACCCGACCUGGCCGCACGAAGCCCCGAAAUUCCACAGCGGACUCGGCGCCCCGCGCGGCCGGUCCGGGCACCUGCCCGGCGGCUGCUGACCGCCGCUGCAGCCUCUCCAAGACCGACUCCUCCUCUCCCGCCAAACUCUGAAUUUAAAAGCGACUUAGAUGGCGGGAAUGCGCGUGUUCCGGGCAGAAUUUUCUCCGCCGUUCCUUUCCCUGGCCUGUGCGGAAAGUUUCCUCCUCACACGGCGACGAGUAAAGGUUAACCUACAGGCUGCGCCCCCUUCUUUCCCUUCAGCCCCCGCCUUCCCGAAGCUUCUCCUCACAGUAAGGGGGGCCUCAGAGAUAUACUUUCAACUCAAACUUAACCUCUCAAGUAAAAAAGAAAAGAAAAAAUGUUAACCUAAGACUAGAGAACGGACUGUCCUCAAGCGCCCUUUGCCUCCGCAGACCGCGUCCGGUCAGCCCUCGCCUCAGCUGGUGAACUUCUCCCUCAGAGCCGCAUUCAACCGCCUUUUCCGGCUCAAACCCGCCUCUCGGGCUCAUGAAUAAUCAACGAGAUCUUCUUGGGUGGGGCGAGGUGCUCAUGAAUAAUUCAUGAGCCCCCAAAGCUUUCUCAGGUGUCCAUCCACUCUCCGCUUCAUGAAUAUGCAAAGAAGGGGCGAGCUGCGGCAGCUUAUAGGACCCUGGCGCGCCCGGCCCCCUCCACGCCCGACCCGGCCCCCGUUCCCGGUCCUCUCGCCCUCUCUCCUCCCACGCCGCGUCUCUGCUGAGGCAGAGAAGGUCGGUUUCCCGACCUUCCAAAGGUUCGCCUCGCGCUCCCGGGGCUACAGAAGGACCCGACGUCGCCUUCAACUUCGGCAACAAGUACGUCGAGGACAACCUGCCGCGGGGCUUCUGGAGGAGGCGCCUCCUGGUCGAGCUACAGGUAAGAGGAAACGUGCCACUGCCUUGGAGCAGGGCAGGCUGCAUGGAAAACAAGCAGGAUGUCUUUCCCCUUCGACUUGGGACUGCACUGGAAACCAGAUAACCAAGAAAUAUUUUCUGCAAGUGGAUCAAUUUAUUCUCAUUCCUCGCAGUGUCCUGAAAGAAACUAAAAGGGUGCCACUAGAACUUUGUCUAGUAAGAGGGAAGAAACUCAUGCAGAGAGGACACAUUUUGCUGACUGCAAGAAUCAAAAGUGACCUGUAAUUACCUGAAGAUUCUCAUCCUCUCGGAUUAGCUGCUUCCUGGGAAAGAUCUGAUUUGCCUGGAUGCACUCAAGGCUGUGCCGAGUCUCUUCAUCCUGAAAAAACCCCAAAACCUUAAAAUAAUUUCAAAGCAUAUUUGGUUUUCCUACCCCGUUUUAAUAGUGUAAUCACAAUGAGAGUCCAGUGACCAAAGUAAUAGGCACAAAACUAAAGAAAAAAAUAUUCAUCCCCAAUAUAUUCAUCCAAUUUAGAUUAUGUGCCUCUAGUUAGAGAACACACUAAUUUUUUUUACAAAAGGAGGUUAAGAACAUUUACAUUAAGCACUAAUAAGAUGUUAGGUCAUUACUUGUACAAGAAACCAAAAUACAGUCGUUUUGUUCUUUUCUUUUUAAUCUCUUAUUUAUUUAUUUAUUUAUUUAUUUAUUUAUUUAUUUAUUUUAGAAAGAGGGGAAGGGAAGGAGAAAGAGUGGGAGAGAAACAUCAAUGUGUGGUUGCCUCUCAUGUGUCCCCUACUGGGGACCUAGCUCGCAACCCAGGCAUGUGUCCUGAUUGGGAACCAAACCAGUGACCCUCUGCUUCACAGGCCUGUGUUCAAUCCACUGAGCAGUCGUUUUGUUCUUUAAUUUGUAACCUUAAAUUCUUAUUUUUGAAAGUUACACUCUGAAUUAUUUAAGAAUGAAAUGAUGUAGUAUCUGGAAUUUGCUUCAAAAUAAGUAGAGGGGGAAAAGUAAGGAGGAAGUGAGUAGAGCAUAAAUGAAACAGGACUGUCCAUGAGGGAUGUCUGAUGAAACUGUGUAAGUGAAGGUUCACUAGACCUACCAUUGUGUCUAUUUUGGUUGCAUGCAUGAUUUCUGUAACACAAAGUUUUUUAAUAAUGUAAAGCUUAAGAACUGAAUUUCUCAAACUGAAAACACGUAUGAACCACUAUCCCUAGUUUAGUAUGUCAUAUAUUUGGGAAUAGAUUUAUUUUUAUUAAGGAAAUUUUUUUAAAAAACCAACAAUAAAUUCUAAUCUACAUGGCACUUGAAUUAUAACCUAUAUUAAAAAAAGUCAUCUUUACACCAUAAAUCUGUACAAGAUGAUAGGAGAAAAAACAAUAUAAUGGAAAAGUCCGAGUGUAAAUUAUGAUGCAAUCUGUUUAACACAGUGAACUUUGUAAAGAUUAAAAGCCGUAUGAUUCUCAAAUGACAGCACCAAGAAUUAAAAUCACUAGAGGACAGACAUUUCUGCAUAUGCUACUUAUUACAAUUCCAACAAUUCUACCUCCUCAAAGAGAGGGGAAAAUCCUGCCUAUAAAUAACACUUAAGGUUUUAUUAAAAAGCAAUCUUAAUCUUGAAUCCAUAAUACUCUACUACUGUGGUUCUCAAAGUGAGGUCCACAGACUUUGAGACCCUUUCAGGGGGGCUCUAUGAGGUCAAAACCACCUUCACAAUAAUACUAAGGCAUUCUGUCUUUUUUUACUGUGACAUUUGUCUAAUAGUGCAAACAGUGCAAAAAGAACUGGUGGGCAAAACUGCUGGCUCAGCAUAAUCAAGGCAGUGACACCAAUUUCACUCAGAAUGUCCUUGAUAAAGCAGGAGAAAAAUGAUACAUUUUAUUAAAUCUUGGCCCUUAAGUAGUCUUUUUUUAUAUUGGAAAUACACAUGAAAUAAUUAUGCUGCACACUGAAGUAUGAUUGUUUCAAGGCCAAGCACUUGUGCCACCCUUUCAGCUACAAGCUGAAUGAGCCACUUUUUUCAAGUACUAUUAAAAAAAAAGCUUUUUAUCUUUUCAAUUACAGUUGACAUACAAUAUUAUAUUAGUUUCAGGUGUACAACAUAGUGAUUAGCUAUUUUUAUAACUUACGAAUGAUCACCUUAAGUCUAACAUCCAUCUAACACUAUCCAGUAUCAUUUAGCUGAAGAGUAAUUCUAUUUCCACUGCUAAGAGACAGCUCUUCACUUAAAAGAGAACUGAGUAUUUUACACUUAGAACCAAAGAGAAAAGAUCUGAGGAAUCUUAAAUUUAGGAAGAUUUUUCUCACAAACCAAUAGGAGGUAGGUAAAAUUUCUAGAACACAUGGGGGAAAGCUUUUUAAAAAUUAUGACAUAAAAGAACAAUGUAAACAGGCUUCCCUCAGCAUCACAUUAACUUUUUAAUUUAGAUAAAUUCAUAUCCUAAACUUUUAUUCUCUUCAGUAUCAUUUUACACAAGUACCCCGACCUAUUUUACUGACCUUUAAAUAUUACAGAAUUGAAAUCAUGUAAUAGGUUUAAAAAAAACUAGAAGCUAAAAUACCAUUUCAUUCUUGUCAGCACAUUCACUUGAGUGUUAACCCAGGCCAAUGUAUAUAAUCAAAACAGUUACUGAAAACUGAAAAUGGAAUAAAUGAUUUUCAGCCUAAGAGAACUGAAAUUAGGCCAGCAAUGCAAAAAUGCAUUUAAUCCCCAGAGAUUUAGUUAACAUUAGGGCAAACUACCUGUUAACUUUCUAGAAGAAUGGUGAUUCAAAAAACAUUACUUGACUAACAUAAGUUGAAUUAACUACCUAAUUUCUUUUUUACAGUUCCUGAAUUUUAUAAGUAAAAACGGAGGCCAAACUUUAGAUAAAUAAGGAGUUGGAAAGAGACAAAGGGAAGGAAGAAACAAACUAGCAAGUAUUGGCAUGUUUCCACAGGCUGAAAGUUCCAAGAGGUGAACCAAACAGCAGGCUGAUUCCACACAAUGAAAACGUUCAGGUAGGUCUGCUGUAAUGACUCACCUUGAUAACUGUCACCCUAGGCCAUAAUCAAACACCUACUUGGUAGCAAACAGUAUGUUAAUUGUGAAACAUUUCCAACAAAAAUUUAAAGCUGUCCACACCUCUUAGGACUAUUCACUACUAGAUAAAGGCCACGAGUCUGAAACAAAAUCCCCGGUGCCCCGAGUUACCUUCCCACAGCACCAGUGGGUAUCCCAUGAUAUAAGUCACGUAACCCUCAGAAGCUAAGAGCAAUUAUGUUUGAGUGACCUUGAAUAUUCACAUUGAAGAGGUAGAAUGUAAAGUGGUUAUGUUAAAUCUAAGCAACCUAAAGUGUCUAAUUACACAUGUCUUAAACACAUUAAGCGUUAAUGAAUAGAGACAGCCAGGGCAGUGUGGUGGGGCAGAGGUUAAUCAUGGUCAUCCUUAAGUUUCAUCUCCAAGGGGGGUUUAAAAAAAUAUCUGAAGUUACCUGAAAUAAGAGAUAAAACUUUUACAGUCACAUAUUAUACUGUGACUGGAUAGGAUUUUAUCUAUUGUAAGAGAAAACCCUAAUGAAUAAAAAUAAGUAUUCUUGAAUAUUAAAUAGAUAAUAUAGGAUAUCACUGUGAAACUGCAUUAGACAGGAAAACCUAACACAAAAUCCCUUUAUGGAAGAUAAUGAAGUAAUGACUCAGAGGAAGGGCAGGGAGGCCCUGAGAAAGCCAAGAAGGAAUGGACACCUAUCAGAAACAGCCUUAUGUGCUUGGAUCACCUGUAUGCCACCUACCAUAUCAGCUACAACAAUGGCAAAGCGGCACAUGACUUUGGGCCAUUUCUAUAAUAAAAGAAUCCAAACUACAAAAUUGUGUAUGUGGGGGAGGAGAGGCAGGGGAGGUGUAUUAAGCUGUACUUUUUUUUUUUUUUUACUAAGGUGCAUUUUAACUUCAAAAGAACAAUAAACUAUUUUUUUGCAUAGUUCUGUCUCACUUUCAAAUGCAAGGUAAUUAAGACUUCAAAACAUUCAGAAGGCAACACUGAAUAAUUUUAAAGAAUUGUUAUUUUCAAUGUAAAAGAAAUGGCUGUUCUUACAUAUGUACUGCAUAUUAAGAAACAUUCAUAGCAAACUUGAGUGUGGAAGCAAUACAAAAUAAUUCAGAGGUGUUAAACUUUAAGAAAUAGCUUCACAACUGUCACUACUCUGGGCAAGGUUUUCAGCUUUAGAGUUUGUUUAUUUAUACCUAAUAACUCUUUAUAUAUCUGAUGGAUGAUAGACUUUCUCAAACUCAGAUUCUAUGGUAUGUUGGGUAAAAUUAUUCCAUGGUGGGAAGACGAUUUAAUCACCAGCAGUAACCAAAACUCAAGCAUUUAUUAGCUGAAUAAGACUACUGUGGCUUGGUCUUACUCCCUGAGUAGGAGCCCAAACCUCAGGUUUUCUAAAACAAUUGCUAUUGAAGUGAACUACAAAUGAAAAUAGAAACAAGGAAACUUCCAAAAGCACAGAUGCAUUCACCUAUCCUAACUUCAUUAUGGUGGAGAUUCAAUUACUUGACAACAUAUUUUCAGGUGAUCAGCAUUAUUCUAGGCACUGGGGAUGCAGCGGUGAACAAAAACAAAGUUCCUACCCUUAUGGAGCUACAACUCCAGUGUAAACUGGAAUAUUUCACAGGCUGAAUGCACUCACUGUGACCUUUCCCCCCUACUUAUUAGAACCAUGCUUUGAAAAAGAUAAAAAGGAACAAUAAAUAUGAAAUUGAGGCAGUGUUCUGACUGUGAGAGCCCCAAACAAGGAGGAAAAAACCCUGCAUCUCUUUUCUACCUCUUUUGUUUUUUAAAUUACUUUUUAAAAAGACUUUAUUUAUUUAUUUUUAGAGAGCGAGGAAGGAAAGGAGAAAAAGAGGAAGAGAAACAUCAAUGUGUGGUUGCCUCUCCCACUCCCCGCAACUAGGGGCAACCCAGGCACGAGCCCUAACAGGGAAUCGAACCAGUGACUCUUUGUUUCUCAGGGCUGCACUCAAUCCACUGAGUCACACCAGCCAGGGUCUACCUCUUUUGGAAACGCUAAGUAAAGUCUGAGUUUUCAGAUAUCCAAAGGCAAAUUCAUGAUCAGCGUACUAGCAUUCCUCUGCCAGCUGCAGGACACAGAUAAACAGCUAAAAUAUUAUCAUUUCCUAAGCAAUAAACACAACCUUCUCCUUGAAAAACAAAAUCCAGUAUGUUUUCAGAAAUCAUCAGCUGAACUCCAUGUUAUAAUCACACUCCGUAUCAAAAAGUCUUUUACUGGUUAAAAAGUCUCUUGAACCAGCAACACUAUAAUAAUAUCCACUAUAACAAGUAAAAUCUUCAUUUCAAUAGAUAAUGACCGAAGAUCUUGGUAAUUCUGUGACUAUAGACUACAUUAGUAGUAUACAGUGUGGUUCAUUAGGCCUGGGGCCGGGGGGGGGGGGCGGCCGGGGGUAAGUG